GCCUACGUGUCACCUUCUCAGCUAUGCCACAUAGUCCCCGUUGAUGUCAUAAUUCCGAUUUAUUUGUAUCUAAUCUAAAUAAUAUAAUAUAUAAUAUAUAAUUUCAAAAUAUGGCUCCACUUUCAAAUUUCAAAAGAUGGCUCCAGUUUCAAAACUUUAAAAUCCAAACCAUAAUUUCAAUACCCCCCCCCCCCUCUCUCUUAAAACAUCUCAUCUAAAGAUCUUCACUCUCUUCCAUCGUUCUCUCUCUAAAACCAACUUUAUCUCUCUAAAACUAACAUUUCAUCCUCACAAUCGCCUUCCUAAUCGUCCUCUCAGAUCUGUUCUCAGAUAUGUAAUUCCACAAUUUUAUUCAAUCAGUUUUGGUUUGAAUCUGUUCAAACCAGUCUCUGUAUUCACAUCAGGUAACAUAAUCUCCUUGCAUCUUUUCGAAUUUCUGACUUAUUUAUCAGUCUAAAACCCUAAUUUUCACCAGAAAAUGCCUCAUCACUGUGCUGUAAGUGUUAUUUAUCAAUCAUUGUUGCUUUUGUAGAUAAGUAAAUGAAUUUCUUCAUUCGAAUUUGAUUAGAUCUGUUAUUAUCAUAUAAUUAUAGAUACGAUUGUUUUCUUGAAUUAUUGAUAGAUGUGUCAGUUUAAAACCUAAUCUUACUGGAAAACGACUCAUCAUUGUGUUGUUUGUGUAAUCUAUCGAUUGUUGAUGUUUCUGAGGUUGGUAGUUGAAUUUUAUUCAAUCAGUUUUGGUUUGAAUCUGUUCUAUUUUCUUGUAGUGUUUGAUCCAGUGAUUUAUGAAUUACACUUCGACUAUGUCCAAAAGAAAAGUGUUAGUUUGCUUUCGAUAGUUUGGCACCUAUCUCUGUUAAAAUUUUAGGUUAGAUAAUAAUACAUGGAGUUUGUUAAUUGCUAUUAAUAUUGCAUCAGAUAUGGGAUGGCUUUACCUAAAUUUUAGGUUAGGUAAUAAUACAUGGAGUUUGUUAAUAAUACAUGAGAUGGCUUUUCUAUAUACCACCUGUGGAGGAGGUAACCCAUAGCUUAGUCGAAGGUUUGUUUGCUUUUUGGUCUAUUUAAUUACUACAGUAGAAUGUCAUAGGGUUGGAUAAUAGAUUUUAGAUAAUGUAUGUCUUUGGCAGCCCUACAAAAGCUUGAGUCGAGCUUGAAUGAGCUACUCGAUAGGUCAUCAUGAUUUUCGUAUGGAGCUACUGUUCGAGUCAAAAGGAGGCCCGGUAAUCCUAUCUCAGGUUGCUGAUUGCAGUAGCAAAGAAAUUACUAAUCAGAAGAGGUUUGACAUGUCAUUGGAAGAGUUUAUUGAUCACUGGCUUAAGCUUUCCUUAGUAGAACAUGGCAAUCUAUAUCUGAAGGACUGGCACUUUUGUAAAGGAAUGCAUUGUAGGAAGUGGAGUUACAGUUGACGUGUUGGAUGGCAAUGCUCUUCAUCCAUUUGCACAUGGGAUGGGAUGGGCCUCAUUUCAUAUGAACUUUAUCUGGCACACUUUGACUUUUAAGGUCAUAUUUGUUACUUUCCAAGUUUAACAUUUCAUAUCAGUACUGUUAAAUGUAAGUGUUUCUGUGUUGUGGUUGAUGAUUUGAUGAAUACCGACGGCCCCGGAAAUGUUAAGAUGAUUCCCGAUGAAGCAGAUGAUUCCUGUCUCGCUUAUAACCUAAUUGCUCCAAGUGAAGCAGAUGAUUCUUGUUCAAGAACUUUUAGAGAUAUGAAGAAAAGAAAGGAUGUACAUUGCAAAUUAUUGAAGGAGAAAUUUACAAAGGCUAUGAGGAGAGAUGAUAUAAAAGCCGUAGUUUUGACUGGGUGUUGAAAUCAUCAGGAGAAGCAGUGGUUUCCCAAGAAGCAGUGAAAUUGACCGGUUUCUCAGGAGAAGCAGUGGUUUCUCAAGUUGCCUAAAGAAAAAAUGGUUGUCUCUUGAAGCAACUUGAUUUGGUCAAUGAUCUUGCGGAUGCAGCAAGUGUUUACGGAACUUUGAGUAAAGUAAUCGACUGCGAUGUGAAAACCGACACAGUGCAAGCAGCCAAAAGCCUGAAUUGCAAGCUUCGCAGUGUUAGGCAAGGUCUAGAUCUCAUCAGAGAGUUGUUUUAAAACUUUUUGUCAACAGAGUAUUCUUUUUUAUCUUUUAUAUCUUUUAAUCAUGUGAUCCAACUGCUAAAUUAUCAAUUAUCAUAUAUUCACA